rnacentral:lncRNA from 1 species
AAUUCCGAGGGCGAGCGAGCGGGCCGGGACCGGCAGAGCCCACUUCUCUCCGCGGCGCAGCGCAAAGCUGGGCAGGGGGCGCCGCGGGACCCGCGCAACCACAGCCGGCUUGGGGAGCUGCUCUGCUCCCUGUUUCCCCCCACUUUUUUCUUCCCCUUUCUGGAAGGGUUUGUGCAGGGGUAGGGAAAACAGACUCAAACAGCAAAGUGGAAAACAGGUAAGAGGUUCUUCAGUGACUUGGGCAUUUUGUUUCGGGGCCAAGGAAGCGUUGGGAAGCUCUCCGUUUUGGGGACACUGGGGGGACUCGAACUCCCAUGUACCUUACUUCUGGGGAUGCAAAUAGUACAGGGGAGGCAUAAACAGGGAAAGAAUGUUCUGGGACGGGCCCUGUCGACCCUGGGACUCAGAACUGCCGCACUCGGGUCUCCCGGAAUCGGAGACCAGCGAGAGCAUCUCCGGCGUCGGAGACUCGCCUCUUGGGCGCAGUGUGAGCCAAGGUUCCCGGACGUCCUCGGGGUACAGCCAGUGGGGUAGGGAGAAGGGAAUCCUCUACAAAGGGUCUCCUUUUGUCUGGCGCGGGGUAGGCCGUCGCCCACAAGUGUCACAUCUGAGUCCUCACUCCAUUAUUUAACUGGUUUGUGUUGGCCUCUGACUUGGAGGUUCUCUUCCCGGGACUGGGACUGCAUGUCCUUGUUUCCAAAGAACUCUAGUAGGAAGUGUCCUAAACGGGGUCUUUUAUGUUACUGCUGCUUGAGUUCUCUGGGCUUUGUUCGACUCCGGGGUCCUGCCCACAGGCUUCCUGCGCUCUGGAGGGCUGCAGUCCCUGGCGCAAAGUGGGAGACCACUUUUGUUCCUUCUAAAGACAGAAAACUUAAGAGAGUCUGCAGAAACCCGAAACUGGGGUGCCCAAUCCACCCUCAUCUUACUGCUUUUUGCUAGUCUUCCCUUGGGGAGACUUCGGGCUGAGCACCGAUUGGGAAGCUGGGGCUAGGUUGUGCAGCCGAAUGACCGCAAGUAACCCCAUCGGGCAGCACAGAACUCGCAGCUCGGGUGCUGGGCCGGGCUCCGCCGCCAGGGGGUGGGGGCUGGGCGGCCUGCGGGUGGCCCCUGGAGACUGGCCCGCAGCGCCUCCUGGCCGGGUAGCCUAGGUAUGGCCUGGUGCGGAGUGAGAGUCUCUAGUCCUUUUGCUUCACUGUGAAUCUGGUCAAAACUGGUGUUUCCAAACUGGGAGGAAACCCGAGGCCAAGAAAGCCAGUCUAUGUUUUCAUGUUGUUGUUUUUUUCUUUUUUGUUUUUGUUUUUUGUUUGUUUGUUUGUUUCCUGACUCCCAGACCGUUGCUCAAUGAGGUUCUUGGGGAUGUUGGCUGAUGACAACCUUGUGGAUAGGUGCCUGUUUUGGUUUCUGCACUUACCUCUGGAAAAGAGAGAAAUACUUAUUAAACUGUUUGCUUUUUUUUUUUUUUUUGACUUUGUGUGUUUGUUUGGGAAAACUAAGUGUCACUAGAAAUAAUUAGUUUGCCCCAUUUGCUGCAAUGGUAUCACCAUUCCAAAACAAAACAAGAAUUUACUUCGACAUCCUUCCAAGGAAGUGGGCAGAAUAAAUGUACAAUAAAGGACAGAUAAACAAAAGGAACACUUCUGGCUUAAGAUGUAGGCCCCCGGUAGAGUCUACCUUGUACAAGACCUUGGGUUCUAGCACCACCAACCACAGAAGCAAAGCAAAACAAAACAGCACAAACCUUCCUUGAAGAGAAUUGGUACACCACUUUCUUUCUGUGGCUCAGCCCUCACCUCCCACAGCACACACCUGACACAUGCCUGCAGGCUCGAAAGCACACCCUUACCUCUUAGUCAUAAUUCGGAACCCUGACCCAAGUAUUGAUACUCUACAAGACAUAAAUGCCAAUUAAAAAGGAGUUGUUUAUCAUCACCACUUUUCUUUCAGCCCAUUUUUAAUAUUCUAAUGCACACAUAAGGACAACGUAUUGCUGUUCCCAUUGUUGAAAAACACUUCCCCCACAUCAAAGGAGGUAUAGACAAGCAUAGAGAAUAUUUGAGUGGAUAGUAUAUCAAUAUAUAAAUAAUAAAGAUAAAUUACAGUUUCUAUUGUAAGCAUGUCUUUUCCUCAGCGCUAUCACAAGUCAUUAAAAUAGGGCUUUUUUUUUUUUAAAGAAAGGUGUGAUGCACAGAAUUGAUUAUUAUCUAUGUGGUAACAAGUUGAAUCUGAGGGUUGAGGGAAGGAAAUUUUCAGCAACAUAAUGCUCAUAGUACCAUUUUGGAGCAAAAAUUGCUACCAUAGAAUAAGUCAUGGGUCUCCUUGUGAAAGUCACUGGGGUUCUGGAGGGGUCACUGGUGGUGACUUGGGUAUUUGUGACGGGUGUCUUCCCGAAGAUGAGUAUUUUAAAUCCAGCCCCCUAAAGUAUUUUUUAUUAGCACCCAAAGGCAGGCCUGUUGUGGCCCUUGGAUGCAUCUUGAUUUGGAAUGUGUGCGUGGUUGAUGGGAGACCGUGAAUUAGUCUGGAAUUGGAAAGGGUGACUGGGGCUGAUUGGUUUUCUACCUCUCUUCAUGGAAACCCCAAUGCAAACACU